rnacentral:rRNA from 1 species
GACGAACGCUGGCGGCGCGCCUAACACAUGCAAGUCGAACGGGAUUUUUAGGAGCUUGCUCCUGGCAAUCUAGUGGCGGACGGGUGAGUAACACGUGAGCAACCUGCCUUUCAGAGGGGGAUAACAUCCGGAAACGGAUGCUAAUACCGCAUAACAUCAUCGGAUGGCAUCAUCUGGUGAUCAAAGGAGCAAUCCGCUGAGAGAUGGGCUCGCGCCCGAUUAGAUAGUUGGUGGGGUAAUGGCCUACCAAGUCUGUGAUCGGUAGCCGGACUGAGAGGUUGAUCGGCCACAUUGGGACUGAGACACGGCCCAGACUCCUACGGGAGGCAGCAGUGGGGAAUAUUGGGCAAUGGGCGAAAGCCUGACCCAGCGACGCCGCGUGGAGGAAGAAGGUUGUCGGAUUGUAAACUCCUGUCUUCGGGGAAGAUAAUGACGGUACCCGAGGAGGAAGCCACGGCUAACUACGUGCCAGCAGCCGCAGUAACAC